GGGCCCGCACAAGCGGAGGAACAUGUGGUUUAAUUCGAUGAUACGCGAGGAACCUUACCCGGGCUUGAAAUGCAGAAGACGAAUCGUGAAAGCGGUUUUCCAGCAAUGGUUUCUGUGUAGGUGCUGCAUGGUUGUCGUCAGCUCGUGCCGUGAGGUGUCGGCUUAAGUGCCAUAACGAGCGCAACCCCUAUUGAUAGUUACUAACAGGUAAAGCUGAGGACUCUAUUGAGACUGCCACCGUAAGGUGUGAGGAAGGUGGGGAUGACGUCAAAUCAGCACGGCCCUUACGUCCGGGGCGGACACACGUGUUACAAUGGGAGGUACAGAAGGGAGCUACCUGGUGACAGGAUGCCAAUCUAAAAAGACCUCUCCCAGUUCGGAUCGAAGUCUGCAACCCGACUUCGUGAAGCUGGAUUCGCUAGUAAUCGCGCAUCAGCCAUGGCG
rnacentral:rRNA from 1 species